GACUCGGUAGCGGACGGUCCGCGUCUGCUUCCGGUACUACUUCGGCCUCCCAUUUCCGUAUGCAGAGCUCGCCCGUUCGACUCGGGCCCGGGUCC